rnacentral:sRNA from 1 species
CUUUAGCCCAGAUAGCAGUGGAAAUCCUUAUGUGCCGGUGUUCGGCAUAUAAGAUUGUAACGAAUAGCUGGAUUAGCU